GUGACCUAGAACAACAUGUGAGGCAACUUCAGAGCCAAUAUCCUAAUUCUGGAAAUGAGAUGAUAAGAGCCCUGUUGCGUGCACAGGGUGUGCUUGAUACACGGUCCAGGGUGCGUGAGAUGUUGACACGGGUCAAUCCUACUGCUGCUGCAAGGAGAUGGAGCCAGACAGUUGCAAGACGUGUUUAUCAUGUACCUUACCCCAAUAGUUUGUGGCACAUUGAUGGGAACAUGCGUCUCAUAAGAUGGGGUUUUGUGAUUCAUGGUGUAAUUGAUGGAUACUCCCAUCUGAUUACUUACCUCAACUGCAGCACAGACAAUCGUGCCACAACAGUGCUUUCACAGUUUUUGAAAGCAACAUGCAUCUAUGCCCUACCAUCAAGAGUCAGAUCUGAACAUCCUUGUGGCUUUAUUCAUGCAUCUAGCUCAAGGACUUGAACACAGAGGUUUCAUAACCGGACGAUCAGUUCACAAUCAGAAAAUUUAACGCCUUUGGCGUGAUGUAUUUUUGCAUGUGUUGCAGCACUCUUACCUUAUGUUCUAAUCCUUAGAGGAUUCAGAGGUUCUAAACCCAGAUGAUGAUGUCCACAGACUUUCAGUGCAUAUUGUUUAUCUUCCUGAGAUUCAAAAAAGACUGGAGCAGUUUAGACAGGCCUGGAACCUCCAUCCGUUGCGACAGAAAAUAAUCGCACACCAUCUCAACUCUGGACAGAGGGCAUGCUCAAAAACAUUGCAACAGACAGCACAGCUGUCAACAAUGUGUUUGGGGAAAAUCCCUACAGCGACCAAAACAUUGAUGCCCAUCC